rnacentral:lncRNA from 1 species
UAAGGAGGCACUUGCGACUCUGGUUGAGAUGGUGGCUGCGGAGCCGCAGUCAAAGCAGAAUUCUGUGGGGGCACCACUGUGGAAGGCACAAGUGGCACCACCGAGGGAACUAUAUGACGCAUCACCAUAAAGGGUACAGGGAUAGCCUUAGGAGGCUAUGGCGCCACUUGAAAGGGUGUGAGAAAGGUCUGGACCACUUAGAUUACGGUCGUUAGAUGUUGA